rnacentral:rRNA from 1 species
AAUAGAUACCCGGGUAGUCCACGCCGUAAACGAUAAUCACUAGAUGUUAGUCUGGUUUACCGGAUUAGUAUCGAAGCUAACGCGUUAAGUGAUUCGCCUGGGGAGUACGGUCGCAAGGCUAAAACUCAAAGGAAUUGACGGGGGUCCGCACAAGCGGUGGAACAUGUGGUUUAAUUCGACACUACGCGAGGAACCUUACCUAGGCUUGACAUGUUUUUGACCGCCAUAGAAAUAUGGCUUUCUAAGCUUCGGUUUAGACAGAUUCACAGGUGCUGCAUGGCUGUCGUCAGCUCGUGUCGUGAGAUGUUGGGUUAAGUCCUUUAACGAGCGCAACCCCCGCUAUCAGUUGCAAUUGUCUUCGGAUGGAGCACUCUGAUAGGACUGCCUGGGAAACCAGGAGGAAGGUGGGGACGACGUCAAGUCAUCAUGGUCCUUAUGUCUAGGGCUACACACGUGUUACAAUGGCUAGUACAAAGGGCAGCAAGACCGCAAGGUUAAGCAAAUCCCAUAAAGCUAGUCUAAGUUCGGAUUAGGGUCUGCAACUCCG